GGCCCUUGGGGCUGGGCUCUGUGGCUACUGAGAUGGGUCGGGAGGGGUCUCCGGCACGUCAGAGAUAUCACACCUGCUCACCGUGGCCUAUACGUUUCACGCUGCCUUCAUUCUGCCUUGUCUUCAGCCUUUCGAACACCAAGAAACUCCUUGAGGAAAUGGAGGUGGGAGGAGACCAGGUUGGGGUAAAAUAUACCAACGAACUACAAACAGCUCAUGAAUUUUCGUCAUGGCGACCUUUCGGGCCAAUCAGUGAGGAACAGGAAGUGGAUGGGAUUGGACCCAGGCUAUAUCUGAGCCACAGCUCUCCCCGCCCUCUCUCUCUGGUGCUUCUAGGAUCUGUGUGGUUUCCUACUGGAUGACGACUUCGACUAGAUUAAAUCCCACUCUCAACUUCCACUCAUGGAAGAAACUGCUGGAACCUCAGUGCCAAUUUUUUAUGAAAUUGCCAUGUGAAUUUGUUGAGUCCAGAAGGUGUGUUCUCAGUAAUGCCUCAAGGCUGUCCACCAACUGAAUUAAUACAGCAUCUCAGCACCAAGUUCAGCCUGCCAUCUCCUCCUCGUAGCAAGAUCAGCCUAGGCUGGAACCCUCAGGGAAAGCCUCCCCAGAGCACCACAGCUUAGAGGGAGGGGAAAGGAAACAUUUCUGGAAAUGAGAGUGACAGGAGCAGAGUUAGAGGGAUGUAGGUGAUGACAGGUGAUGAUGUGGUGAGGAUGGUGAGGACGACUAACGCUCAUUGAGAGUCUACCAUACUCACUCCCAGAGCUGUUUAACUCUUUCCAAGUGUAAGUUCAUUUGUCUCUGAC
ensembl:lncRNA